CCUACGGGAGGCAGCAGUGAGGAAUAUUGGUCAAUGGACGAGAGUCUGAACCAGCCAAGUAGCGUGAAGGAUGACUGCCCUAUGGGUUGUAAACUUCUUUUAUCUGGGAAUAAAAUGUUCCACGUGUGGGAGUUUGUAUGUACCCUAUGAAUAAGGAUCGGCUAACUCCGGUCCAGCAGCCGCGGUAAUACGGAGGAUCCGAGCGUUAUCCGGAUUUAUUUGGUUUAAAGGGGUCGUAGGUGGGUAGUUAAGUCAGUUGUGAAAGUUGGCGGCUCAACCGUAGCAUUGCAGUUGAAACUGGCAGUCUUGAGUACGGUAGAGGUAGGCGGAAUGCGUGGUGUAGCGGUGAAAUGCUUAGAUAUCACGAAGAACUCCGAUUGCGAAGGCAGUUCACUGGACUGCAACUGACACUGAGGCUCGAAAGUGUGGGUAUCGAACAGGAUUAGAUACCCCAGUAGUC
rnacentral:rRNA from 1 species